AGCGUCUCGGAUCAUUGACAACUAAAUAGGAGCAGCAACGUCCAAUUAAAGGGCCCUGAUCACGAAACACAGGAACAAAAUGAAUCUGGAGAGUUUGAUCCUGGCUCAGAACGAACGCUGGCGGCGUGCCUAACACAUGCAAGUCCAACGUGAAAGGGGAGCAAUCCCCCGGUAGGGUGGCAAACGGGUGAGUAAUACAUGGGUGAUCUACCUUAGGG
rnacentral:rRNA from 1 species